GGAUUUUUAACUGUACAUAUAUGAAAAUUGGAAUGAUACAGAGAAGAUUAGCAUGGUCCCUGCACAAGGAUGACACACAAAUUCAUGAAAAGUUCCAUAUUUUU